ACAUCAUGAUGAGGGAAUUUCCUAAGCAUUUUAUUAAAUCUCUCUCAACUUUCAUAAAUUAAUUCUUGCUCAAGCUGGGCAAAAGAUGUGAUAUCAUUUCUAAGUUU